rnacentral:rRNA from 1 species
GCUUUACUGUAACUUGAAAUUGAAAUUGGACUUUACUUGCGCAGUAUAGGUGGGAGGCGUUGAGAAUAUUCUUGUGGGAAAAUUGGAGCCAUCAGUGAGAUACCACUCUKGUAAUGUUAGAUUUCUAACUUUGYACCAUUAUCUGGUCAAAGAACAGUUUCAGGCGGGCAGUUUGACUGGGGCGGUCGCCUCCUAAACGGUAACGGAGGCGCACAAAGGUUUCCUCUGAACGGGUAGAAAUCGUAUCUAGAGUGUAAAGGCAUAAGGAAGCUUGACUGUGAGACCUACAAGUCGAGCAGGGACGAAAGUCGGUCUUAGUGAUCUGACGGUGCUGAGUGGAAAGGCCGUCACUCAACGGAUAAAAGUUA